rnacentral:rRNA from 2 species
CAAUAGCGUAUACUAAAGUUGUUGCGAUUAAAAAGCUCGUAGUUGGAUCUCAGGCAUGGGCGCACGGUCCGCCUCGCGGCGGUCACUGUGUGUUUUGUUUCCCAUCCUACGCUUCCCGGUCCUAACCCAUGGUGCCCUUAAUUGGGCGUUUUGGGUGGCCGGAACGUUUACUUUGAAGAAAUUAGAGUGUUCAAAGCAGGCACGUUGCCUGAAUAAUGGUGCAUGGAAUAAUGGAAUAGGACCUCGGUUCUAUUUUGCUGGUUUUCGGAACACGAGGUAAUGAUUAAGAGGGACAGACGGGGGCAUCCGUAUUGCGGUGUUAGAGGUGAAAUUCUUGGAUCAUCGCAAGACGAACAACUGCGAAAGCAUUUGCCAAGCAUGUUUUCAUUAGUCAAGAACGAAAGUCAGAGGUU